rnacentral:lncRNA from 1 species
CAGCCGCCUCCACGCACUGGGAAUCGUUUCCGGUUCCAUGAAAUUGAUUGCACAACUCCCCGUUUUUCUCUUUAGGAUUUCUGUUGCCUCGAUCAUAUUCCUAUCCCGGUUUGCUUCUUUUGGUCGGAUGGUCCUCGCACUAUCACGUUUCGCUUCAGCAUCGUGGAGUGGCGACCUCUGGCUUGGCGCAGUGGAGAGUUUGCCAUACCUGAGGUCCGCUUGGUGCUCUUUUGUCCUAUCCUCCAGGUUCCUUUCCGUGUAGCCGACAUGAAGUUCCUCCCUACCCAAAGAGUGAUUGGUUGGGGGGAUCUCA